UUAAUUAGCAUAAAUUUUCAUAUAUUUAAGGGAAAAUAAUAGCGGAGUGGAGCAGAUCGGGACACAGGAGAGAGAGAGAGAGAGAGAGAGAGAGAGAGAGAGAGAGAGAGAGAGAGAGAGAGAGAGAGAGAGAGAGAGAGAGAAACUGCGCUCAAACAGACAGCACCUAGAGAAACGCUUGGAUUCCCUGCCGCCGGUCAGAGAGAUGUUCAACAAAGGCUGUUUCACUACUAACUGUAACCAUUUUCUCUCUCUCUCUCUCCUUUACCAAGGUGAGUCUCAGUGCUUCUGCUAAGCACACAAGGACUUCUUUCACGGAAAACUUCUUUACAGAGGCAGGAUGGCUGGGAUUAUCUUUCCUUUUGUGUUCCUUUUCCUCUUUUCCUCUCACCUUCACAACACUGACUGCAUAAGCCAGUGCUACACAGCAGACAUUAGAGCUCCCAUCAGAAAGAACACAUAUAAGAUGCUGAAUCAAGCUAUAAGGAUAUUGACAGAACGUGUGCUACUGUAUUUUGAUGCUUUUAUAGCUAUUUCAGAUCAAUGUACCAAAAACUGCCUUGCCAUUUGUAUAUUAUAUAUUGGCUAUUUUUUUUUCAAUAAUUAGAUUUUUUAUGGUAUCGCAGUUGGAAGUCAGUUGUGAGCAAUAUAAGAGCAUACAGGACAAAACAGUAAAGGUAUAAACCAAGGUUAUGCAUAACAAAGUGCUUUCCAAAUAGUGAAUCUAAAUCAUGAAGGGAUAUUGUUCAACUUCAACAAUUCAUAUAUACAAUUAUGUAUGCAAUAACUAACCGUGAAGGAUAUCUGGCUGAUCUGCUUCAGAUUAGAAUGCUUGUAAACACUGAAAUGUGAAAUACACACUUCAGCAAUUGUCACAACUAACAACUGAAAUUAGUGCCAACAUUCUUGGUUUUAAUUUUUAAAAUCACACAGCAUACACUGUUAACUCUUUGUAUGCAUCCAAAUCUGCAAAGUCUCUGCUUUCUAAGAAUGGUGUAACAUUUUGCUCUGAGCACUUAUAAAGAAUUGCUUUUUAAAAUUUUAUUCAGGGUCUUCUGUUACUAUGCUUCAUACCAGUAGGAACAAAACCAUAGAACAGCUCUUUCCUGCUUUCAUUCUCAUCAUCUGCAUUUGCAUUUUAUUCAGCUUACCAAAGGAAAUAGCCUGCAGUGAAAAAACUCAAACCACUAUGCAUAUAUGAAAGAGAGAGAGAGAGAGAGGGAGAGAGAGAGAGAGAAAAUGAAAGACCAGAAGUAAAAGGGACACAGAGGAAGAUGGAGUGACAGAGCACCCUGAAAGGAAAUGACAGAUUAUCUCAGAGCUUCUGUCCAUUUCCAAACGUAGUCAUAAACCAAUCUUCGGGAAAAAAAAAAAACACAUCAGCAUGGCAUGCAAUGAUAUGAAGUGCAAUGCGCUCAUCCUUUGUCACUUAACCACGGAUAUCUUUACUCAAAAGCUUUAAAAAGUCCUUUGAUAGUAUCUAGGGACCAAUUUACAAAAAUCUCCAUGCUAUUAUUACUAGAAAGUGAAGGCACAAUGCUGUUCUGUCUGUGACGACUGGGUCAUCCUUAGGGAAGUGAGAGUUCGAGAGAAUCCUCAGUCGUUACCUAAGGACACGCCACAGGCGAGUUAUCGUCAUCAGACCCCGUUAACUACAUGCGGUCUCAGCUCCUCUGACAACGAAAGGGACCCAUCAAUGUUUCAGUCCACAGAGAGUGCCUCAAAAAGGCCUUUAAAGUGAGUAAAGCCCAUUCUCUUUAAUUCUGAUUACACUCUAAAAGUGUCUUUAGCAUGUGGCGGCUAAAUUGGGCUAUCAGCACUAAGUAGCGGCAGGGAAGAAAAGAACCAAUUAUGCCAGUCACAGCCAGAUGAUGAUUCUCAUCCUCACUGCCUCGUUCCAUCUCUCACACACACAGAGGGAGAGAAAUAUUACUCUUUUUAUGCUGAGAUAAAGAGACCACACACACACACACACACACACAGCUGACAUACAUAUGUGUGCACACACGUCGCAGAACUAAAAUACUAAUGUUACUGUAUUUCUUUCUUCAAAUAUCAGAAAUCUCUGUUUUAUAUAAUAAAGAAAUAAAUCUGUCCCUCACCAGUGCA